rnacentral:tRNA from 1 species
CAGAGUAUAGCUCAACAGAAAAGCAUCUCCCUUACACUGAGAAAAUACCUGUGCAAAUCAGGUUACCCUGA